rnacentral:rRNA from 1 species
UCUAAACGCCAUACCACGUUGAAAGCACGCCAUCCCGUCCGAUCUGGCAAGUUAAGCAACGUUGGGCCUGGUUAGUACUUGGAUCGGAGACGGCUUGGGAAUCCCAGGUGUCGUAAGCU